AUGAACGCUAGCUACAGGCUUAACACAUGCAAGUCGAGGGGCAGCAUGAAUCAAGCUUGCUUGAUUUGAUGGCGACCGGCGCACGGGUGCGUAACACGUAUCCAAUCUACCCAUGGCUCAGGGAUAGCCUUUCGAAAGAAAGAUUAAUACCUGAUGGUUUCAUGAGCCCGCAUGGACUUAUGAAUAAAGAUUUAUCGGCGAUGGAUGAGGAUGCGUCCGAUUAGAUAGUAGGCGGGGUAACGGCCCACCUAGUCGACGAUCGGUAGGGGCUCUGAGAGGAGGAUCCCCCACAUUGGAACUGAGACACGGUCCAAACUCCUACGGGAGGCAGCAGUGAGGAAUAUUGGUCAAUGGGCGAGAGCCUGAACCAGCCAAGUAGCGUGAGGGAAUGACUGCCCUAUGGGUUGUAAACCUCUUUUGUUUGGGAAUAAAGUGAGCCACGUGUGGCUUUUUGUAUGUACCUUACGAAUAAGCAUCGGCUAAUUCCGUGCCAGCAGCUGC
rnacentral:rRNA from 1 species